AGCAGCCGCGGUAAUUCCAGCUCCAAUAGCGUAUAUUAAAGUUGUUGCAGUUAAAAGCUCGUAGUUGAAUUUCGGGAUCAAUGCGUCGGUCGUGCCUUCGGUACGUACUAGCGUCAUUGAUUCCUCCCUUCUGAAGAACCGUGAUGUCAUUAAUUUGGUGUUACGGGGAAUCAGGACUGUUACCUUGAAAAAUUAGAGUGUUUAAAGCAGGCUAACGCUUGAAUACAUUAGCAUGGAAUAAUGAAAUAGGACGUUCGAACCUAUUUUGUUGGUUUCUAGGAUCGACGUAAUGAUUAAUAGGGAUAGUUGGGGGCAUUAGUAUUCAAUUGUCAGAGGUGAAAUUCUUGGAUUUAUUGAAGACUGACUACUGCGAAAGCAUUUGCCAAGGAUGUUUUCAUUAAUCAAGAACGAAAGUUAGGGAUCGAAGACGAUCAGAUACCGUCGUAGUCUUAACCAUAAACUAUGCCGACUAGGGAUCGGAUGAU
rnacentral:misc_RNA from 1 species